rnacentral:piRNA from 1 species
UGAGAAUCAUUAAAGACAUUUGCCAAGGA